UUUGUGCUCCUGAGAUGUUGCUGGGCCUGCUGUGUUCAUCCAGCCUCACAUUUUGUUGUCUUGGAUUCUCCAGCAUCUGCAGUUCCCAUUAUCACUAACACUAGCACUGAGAUUACUUGACCCCCCUCCUGAAUUCAUUAGGAUUGUCAACUCUCCAUGAUAGGUCUGGACACUCCAGGAAUUGAGCAUGAAUCGCCAGAACACUGCUUUGGGCAACAUGGUACGAAACCCCAAAGCAUUUCUGUGGCCUUUGCAGCUUCAACUAGGGAAACAGGCAGGCAUCUUUGCUGUAUGUGACGGAUUAUGGUACAUCUGGCAAUCAUAACUGCAGCAGCCAUCUCCAAAGGCAGAGCUCCCAAGUGUUUUGCACAAACAAGCAGAUGCAGCUUUGAUGGACUGGGCAUGGUGUGAAUUUGCAACUGAAAAAGCAUUUUACCUGAUGCAGCAAUGCUAUGUUACUCUCAGUAAUAUAAGAAGCUGGGUGUGGAGAUUCUGGUGUUGAAGAAUCCAGAUGACAUUUAUUACAGUUAGAUGUAAACAAAAUGUUCAUAGGCAUAUAAGUGUCUGGGCUAACAUUAGCUUCCAAUUGCAAUAGAGGUGCAUUCUUCAAGUGAUCCCAGAGUAAGAUGAAUUAUGAGUACUUAUACCUAACAAGGCACAUGCCGAGAUAGUGAUUAUGUGAUAAGCAUGUCUCAUACAAGUAUACAGACUGUGAGAUGUCACUCAACAGGGCAUUCCUGCAGAAUGGAAAAUGGUCACAUGCAGAAAGACCUCCUGUAUGUUGAAGUUAUCAGAGCUAGACCACCCAAUGGUGUUGGAUAAAAAUUUGUGCAGUCAGAGCCAGCGCUGAGUUAGCACUGGAGCAUUCAGAGAACAGAUCAUUCCGAGGGAUUGCUACCUUCAUGCCUUACUACUGGUCACGGCAUUUGGUUCAGUCUAGCAAUAAGAGUGGGGCAGUUUGCAAGGUUUUCAUUAAAUCACAGCAGAGAGUUCACUGAAGAACAGUUGCAAAGUCACAAUCAGUUGGCAAAGAAGACAGACUGAGUUGGAGGUGGGCUCCACGUGAAGCUAUAAUGUUUGGGAGAUGAUUAAUAGCACUGGCUCUGUCUCAUCAGAACUCAGGAAGAAAUUUUGAGUCAGUAGGUGCCUAAGUAAUUUGGGGCUUCAUGAGAGAUGAUGAACAGUUGGAUAACUCUGCAGUCAGAACUCGAAGAAAUUUUAGAGUUGUGUAGACACCUGACUUUUGAGAUUCAGUAUUGAGGUGGAGAACUGUAUUCUCAAUGGGUGGGAGAUCAGCCAUGAUGGCAUGAUAUGGCUGGUGCAAGUCCAGUACCACUCUCUGUGGACAGCGAGGUGUUGCAGGUAGUCAAUACCCAUGGAGCAUGCCCGAAGAUGGGGAGGCCUGGAGGAGCAAGCAGUGAGCUGGAGCCAUCAUGUAACUGCUCUGACUUGCAUGCCAGGAAUAGACACCUACUUGUUUCUUUCACACAACUUUCUAGUUGUGUAAAAACUCCACGUAAGUGAGACGAUAAUAGGUCAUGAUGAAAUGUAAACACCAGGAAAUGGGCUUUGUGCCACUUACUAGAGAGAGUCUCAUCAUGCCAUUCAAAUGAUAGAGGGGUCAGUGUCGUGGUGCAGUGACAACAAUCUCUUGCUCAGUGUCAGCAAAACAAAAGAACUGAUCAUUGACUUCAGGAAGAAAGGUGGAGGACCCCAUCCCCCACACCCCCAUCUAUAUCAAUGGAGUUGAGGUGGAGAGGGUCGAGAGCAUUAACUUCCUAGGAGUGACGAUAACUAACAAUCUGUCCUGGGCCUCCCACGUAGAUGUGACGGUCAAGAAGGCCUCCUCUUGUUCAGGCAGCUUAGGAAAUUUGGCAUAUCCAUAAGGACCGUCACCAACUUCGACAGAUCCACAAUAGAAAGCAGUCUAUCUGGGUACAUAACAGCAUGUUACAGCAAAUGCUGUGCCUGAAGACUUAAGAAACUACGGAAAGUUGUGUGCAUAGCCCUGUUCAGCACAGAAGCUAACCUCCCAUCUGAGGCUCCUGUCAGGAAUUUUUACAAAUGUGACAUUGACUUCUUGCACCGAGGAGUUUCCAGCUGACAAAAGGAGGAAUAGGGUGGUAAUAGGACUAGAGCAGUCAGGAAAGAAGAAUAGGGAUGGAUUGGGAAUAUAGAAAUCUUGGAGGUGUAAUGGGAAAGGAAGAUGGGCAAUGCUUCGAAAGCCUGUAAUUUCAAAUAAACCUGUUGGACGAUAA